rnacentral:tRNA from 1 species
GCGCCACUCGUGUAGGGGCAUCAUGCAAGAUUCCCAUUCUUGCGACCUGGGUUCGAUUCCCGGCUGGCAGCA